AUAAUUAAGCUUAUUUGUGUGGGUUGUUGUUAGUUAUGAAAAAUGAAAGAUCAUCAAGGAUAAGAGAAUUAGUAACGAUAAAAAAGUUUAGUUUAAAUUAUAGUGUACGAUUAUCGUAAGAGAAAGUUUAAAGAUAAAGAAAAAGAAGGGUUAAGCCAUCGUACCUUUUGUAUCAGGGGCUAUCUAAAUUAGUUUAAUAGUAAAAAAGUUCUCGAAUUAAGAGGAUCUAAAGCUAUAUUACUUUACAUGUGUUAUAAUGUUGUUAAAUGUAGUUUUAGUGGUGAUACGCCAUACGACUUUUAUAUAUCUGGUUCUCUACGAAAAAAAUUUAAUUUUGUAAUUAACCCAAACUGUAGGUUAAUUGGUUAAACUGUGGGGCAUGAGCUCAGCAGUAAUUGAAGUAUUAAGAUAAGUGUUAACGAAUGGAUUUUUACUGGGCUUAGAAUCAGCCGUGUUAAAGAUGACGUUAUAGUGAGUAAUAUCAGAUUAAUUAAAUUUAAGUUAUCUUAUAGAAUGUUAGUAGGGUAUGUUUUAUAAUUAAAAAAAAUAAAGAAAUAAUGGUAGUAUUAGUAGAGCGACUUGUGGAAGAUUUAAGUUCAAGGUAAAAGGUGAGAAAAAAUUAAGUGGUUGGUGUUUUGAAGGAACUCGGCAAAUCUAAGCUUCUGCCUGUUUAACAAAAACAUGUCUGUGUGAAAUUUAUACAUAGUCUGGCCUGCCCACUGGGGUUCUGAAGGGCCGCGGUAUACUGACCGUGCGAAGGUAGCAUAAUCAAUAGUUCUUUAAUUGAGGACUGGAAUGAAGGGUCGGACGAGAAGUUAGCUGUCUCCAAGACAAGUCUUGAAGUUUACUUUUAAGUGAAAAGGCUUAAAUGAGAUAAAGGGACGAUAAGACCCUAUAAAACUUUACAGUUUAUGUCUAGAAUUUGUUUAAAUUUGCGUGUAAAUCUGUUUUGGUAAAGCUGUUUUAUUGGGGCGAUAAGAAUAUAAUCGAUUAACUGUUCUUAGUUAUGAAAAUAGGUAUAAUUAGUUAAUUUGAUCCUUUAAUAAGGAUUAGAAGAUUAAGUUACUUUAGGGAUAACAGCGUAAUUUCUCUUGAGAGUUCUAAUCGACAGAGUUAGUUGCGACCUCGAUGUUGAAUUAAGGUGUUAGCUAGGCGCAGAAGCUUAGAUAGUAGGUCUGUUCGACCUUUAAAACCUUACGUGAUUUGAGUUCAAACCGGUGUAAGCCAGGUUGGUUUCUAUCUUUUAUUUAUAGUAUAAAUUUCUUUAGUACGAAAGGAUUAAGAAGUUACAAAAUUUGUUUACCAAUUGAUGGAUAAUAAUAU
rnacentral:rRNA from 1 species